rnacentral:rRNA from 1 species
CCUACGGGUGGCAGCAGUGAGGAAUAUUGGUCAAUGGUCGGGAGACUGAACCAGCCAAGCCGCGUGAGGGAGGAAGGUACAGAGUAUCGUAAACCUCUUUUGUCAGGGAACAAAGGCGGGGACGUGUCCCCGGAUGAGUGUACAUGAAGAAAAAGCAUCGGCUAAAUCCGGGCAAGCAGCAGGGGUAAUACGGAGGAUGAGAGCGUUACCGGGAUUUAUUGGGUUAAAAGGGGGCGCAGGGGGUCUGUUAAGUCAGCGGUAAAAGCCCGGGGCUCACCCCCGGCCCGCCGUUGAAACUGGCAGUCUCGAGUUGGAGAGAAGUAUGCGGAAUGCGCGGUGUAGCGGUGAAAUGCAUAGAUAUCGCGCAGAACUCCGAUUGCGAAGGCAGCAUGCCGGCUCCACACUGACGCUGAGGCACGAAAGCGUGGGUAUCGAACAGGAUUAGAUACCCGGGUAGUC